AGCAAACACAAUAAGUAAUCCACCUGGGGAGUACGUCCGCAAGGAUGAAACUCAAAGGAAUCGACGGGGACCCGCACAAGCGGUGGAGCAUGUGGUUUAAUUAAAAGCAACGCGAAGAACCUCCCCCGGCCUUGACAUCCCCCUGACAGCAUAUGAAAAAAAAGUUCCUUUCGGGGCAGGGGAGACAGGUAGUGCAUGGUUGUCGUCAGCUCGUGUCGUGAG
rnacentral:rRNA from 1 species